CAACUUAUAAACAGAAUGGCCUAUUAUAAGCUGUGGCCAUAAGGCAAUUCUCAUCAUUUUUCUCCAAACACGAAACACCUUGUUUUUUUUGAAAGAACCUUUACUGCAUACCGUCUGAAGAUAAUAGUCUAAUUUAUUUCUAAGCAACAAAAUAGGAAAACAAAAGAGCUACGAGUUUGGUGCACAUGUUGCAUGAAAUAAAUUUUCUUUUUUUGUGAAUAUAUUUAUAUAUUAUAAUUGGAAACUUAAAUAUAAAUAUAAAUUUACACAUUUUCUGAGCAAGCAUUCUUUUUUACCAGCUUGAGGCAAUAAACAUAGUGUUUCAGUCUUGCACUUCAAGUACUGAAUUCCAUAAACUUGUGAAGGUAGAAAAGCUUGGAGUUUUUUUUUUUUUUUUUUUUUUUUUUGAAAGAAACAGUUUGGAGUGAAAUUACAACAAGCGGGGUCAUUAUUAUCAUUUGUACGCAUUUAUGACUCAGAAAGAUCUUCUCUUGCAAUACUCCAGUGCCAAAUGUGCACACAUUUCCUGAGUGCCAAAUGUGCACACAUUUCCUGAGGUAAAUUGAAGCAUAUUUACAAGCGGUGAUAUUAUAAACUUUAGCAGAAAGCUCAACACUAUUGUAGUACUACGGCUCAUUUAAAGUUUGACUGUUUCUGUUCAAAUACUUGCACUGAUAGAACCUUAGGGAAGAGGAGCUAUCAAGCUUAUAAAAGCUUUUGCAGUGAUACAGUAUUUACAGACAGAAGAACUGGUCAACAGGCUCUUGCCCUAGUGGAAUCGUUAUGCAAAUCUCUUUUUCUGUUGUCAGUGCUGGGUAGGGGUCUGGUACCGGCUUCACUGCAAGUUUUGGUACAUUAUCGCCAAGUGUAUACCUGUUGGGUCUCUUUCAGGUGGGGGUCCGUCUUGGUUGAGACUUUGGCUGCUUACUGCUUACAAAUAGGUAAAAUUUUAGCAGAACAGAGAGGUAGAUUCGUAGACAUUAGCUAUGAUCCUGUUUUUAUGGUUCUUCAACAAACAUGCGGAUGAUAUUAGAGGAGACCAAAAUUCAUUUAUGGUAAUGUUCAGUACUAUUCUUGUCCUGAUGAUCACCAUAAUAAUGGCAUCUACUAAUAUAGUUUUCUAUUAAGCCGUCCAAAUGAUGUUUUAUAUAUAUAUUGUAAAUGUUUUUAAGAUAGAGAUUAUCAAGAUUUAAAUUUCUUACCUAUUACACUA